AGCGAACGCUGGCGGCAGGCCUAACACAUGCAAGUCGAACGAACCCUUCGGGGUUGGUGGCGGACGGGUGAGUAACACGUGGGAACGUGCCUUUAGGUUCGGAAUAACUCAGGGAAACUUGUGCUAAUACCGAAUGUGCCCUUCGGGGGAAAGAUUUAUCGCCUUUAGAGCGGCCCGCGUCUGAUUAGCUAGUCGGUGAGGUAAUGGCUCACCAAGGCUACGAUCAGUAGCUGGUCUGAGAGGAUGACCAGCCACAUUGGGACUGAGACACGGCCCAAACUCCUACGGGAGGCAGCAGUGGGGAAUCUUGCGCAAUGGGCGAAAGCCUGACGCAGCCAUGCCGCGUGGAUGAUGAAGGUCUUAGGAUUGUAAAAUCCUUUCACCGGUGAAGAUAAUGACUGUAGCCGGAGAAGAAGCCCCGGCUAACUUCGUGCCAGCCGCCGCAGUAACAC
rnacentral:rRNA from 1 species